AUUGAACGCUGGCGGAAUGCUUUACACAUGCAAGUCGAACGGCAGCACGGGGGCAGCCCUGGUGGCGAGUGGCGAACGGGUGAGUAAUACAUCUGAACGUGCCCGGUCGUGGGGGAUAACGUAGCGAAAGUUACGCUAAUACCGCAUACGAUCUGAGGAUGAAAGCGGGGGACCUUCGGGCCUCGCGCGAUCGGAGCGGCCCAUGUCAGAUUAGUUAGUUGGUGGGGUAAAGGCCUACCAAGCCGACGAUCUGUAGCUGGUCUGAGAGGACGACCAGCCACACUGGGACUGAGACACGGACCAGACUCCUACGGGAGGCAGCAGUGGGGAAUUUUGGACAAUGGGCGAAAGCCUGAUCCAGCCAUUCCGCGUGCAGGACGAAGGCCUUCGGGUUGUAAACUGCUUUUGUACGGAACGAAAAGGAUCUGGCUAAUACCUGGGGCUCAUGACGGUACCGUAAGAAUAAGCACCGGCUAACUACGUG
rnacentral:rRNA from 1 species